rnacentral:rRNA from 1 species
UACGUAGGGUGCAAGCGUUAAUCGGAAUUACUGGGCGUAAAGCGUGCGCAGGCGGUUAUGUAAGACAGAGGUGAAAUCCCCGGGCUCAACCUGGGAACUGCCUUUAUGACCGCAUAGCCAGAGUACGGUAGAGGGGGAUGGAAUUUCGCGUGUAGCAGUGAAAUGCGUAGAUAUGCGGAGGAACACCGAUGGCGAAGGCAAUCCCCGGGACCUGUACUGACGCUCAUGCACGAAAGCGUGGGGAGCAAACAGGAUUAGAUACCCUGGUAGUCCACGCCCUAAACGAUGUCAACUGGUUGUUGGGUCUUCACUGACUCAGUAACGAAGCUAACGCGUGAAGUUGACCGCCUGGGGAGUACGGCCGCAAGGUUG